rnacentral:rRNA from 1 species
UACGUAGGGGGCAAGCGUUGUCCGGAAUCAUUGGGCGUAAAGCGCGUGUAGGCGGCUCGGUAAGUCCGCUCUGAAAGUCCAGGGCUCAACCCUGGGAUGCGGGUGGAUACUGCCGGGCUCGAGUCCGGAAGAGGCGAGUGGAAUUCCCGGUGUAGCGGUGAAAUGCGCAGAUAUCGGGAGGAACACCAAUGGCGAAGGCAGCUCGCUGGGACGUGACUGACGCUGAGACGCGAAAGCGUGGGAGCAAACAGGG